AUUCUUUGUUAUUAAGCAGCCUGAAUAAGGAAAUCUUUAAAUCUUUGCUAUAGAGAGGAGCCCGAAACAUUCCCGAAGUUUCAGUAGGUUGUUUGGACCCAGGGCAUUUGUUCAGCUCCUUGAGGAAGUCAGGACAAGGUGCCAAGUUUGGAUCCUGACCUGCACCUUCAAAACAAACAAACAAACCCGCUCAGGAUGUCUCCGAUCAUGUGCAUCCUUUGUUAACGGAGAACUUUUUCAAGGCUGAUUUCACUUUCACAGCUAAGGCAGAAGCUGGGGCUGGGCAGGCUCAGCCUAUACAUUACAGGUACAGCAGCCCAGGUUUCUGCCUCUGAACCCUGAAGAGCUCUUCCAAGAGGACGGUGUCAGUCCUCAGGGCGUUCAGAUUGGAGGAUUACACAUUCAGAGGCAGGCCUCUCAUGUCUCUGACAAACAGAGCACUUUGCAGCACCCUGUGACUUUCUGCGAGGCACGAGAUCCACCGGCAGCAAAGCCACUCGCUUCCACAGGAGAGCGGCAGCCAUCUGCUGCAUAGGGGGAACUGCUUAGAAAUAACACCUGAAGAACACUCUUAAUGGCCGCUAGUCUGGGAAUGAAGCUCGAAAAGCCAACCUCCUAUUGCCCCUGACAGCACAACCCAGGGAGCUGACCCAGCGAGGGAAGCGCUGGAGCUACUCUUCAGAAACCCGGUGCCAACUGCAGACACCUCACACUGCUGGAAAACCCGGGGCUGCUCUUUCAUGGCAGAAAUUAGGUGCCAAAUAACUGGAGGAAAGAUGUCUCUGACUUCAGGGAGCACAUGGUGAGGAGUGAACUUGUUCACUCCAUCAGAGGGACCAAGUCCUGGGUUGGCCUCUGCAAAAUGAAACACCUUUCACUGCAAAGAUGCUCACUCAAACAAGGUUCAAAAUGCAACAGCAUGUUGUGAUGGAAGCUGGGAACUGGAUGGUUUAUUCCUUUUUUUUUUUUUCCAUAGGCACGUGCAAAGUCCAUCCUUCACAUCAUCCUUCCUGACCCUGUUUGCACGAUCUUGUUGAAGUUUUAUGCACCUCUUAUCUUGACAUAAACCAGUUUGUCCAGAACAAGGAAGAUUUCUUUCUCUUUGAAGAUAACAGAAAGGAAUGAUUAAAAAUCACCUCCUUGAUGUUUGCAUAUGGUUCACAAAUAAUAGAAGGAAAGGAUAGAGCCCAAAUAUAGAGAUGGAGAAAAAAAAAAAAAAUCAACUGCAAGUAUUUUAUUUGUGCCUGCAUGCUCAUAUACAUUCAGUUGUGGUUCACUACAAAUGAAAAAAAAAUCAGAUGUUUUUGGAGGACACCAAGUACACCUGGAAAAGGGUUCUCUCUAGCACUGCACUCUUAAAUUCCAUGAGACUGUCUUCAUCAGUUUGAACAAAUGUGGUGUGCCAGAUUUCCAGUUUAGCUGUGCAAUUGUGUGUGAAAAUAGCGUUAAUUAUAUAAGUGACUAAUAGGAAGAAACGGAAGCACUUGCACAAUUUAGGAGCAAAAAUGAGUUUAAAAACUUAUUCAAAUGUACAA
rnacentral:lncRNA from 1 species